UACGGGGGGGGCAAGCGUUGUUCGGAAUUACUGGGCGUAAAGGGUGCGUAGGCGGCUUUCUAAGUUGGAUGUGAAAACUCUGGGCUCAACCCAGAGCCUGCAUCCAAAACUGGAGAGCUAGGGUUCUGGAGGGGAAAGCGGAAUUCCUGGUGUAGCGGUGAAAUGCGUAGAUAUCAGGAGGAACACCGAUGGCGAAGGCGGCUUUCUGGACAGAUACCGACGCUGAGGCACGAAAGCUAGGGGGAGCAAACGGG
rnacentral:rRNA from 1 species